GAUUAUGGCUCAGGAUGAACGCUAGCGACAGGCUUAACACAUGCAAGUCGAGGGGCAGCGUAAAAGUAGCAAUACUUGGUGGCGACCGGCGCACGGGUGAGUAACGCGUAUGCAACCUACCUAUCAGAGGGGAAUAACCCGGCGAAAGUCGGACUAAUACCGCAUAAAACAGGGGCACCGCAUGGUGAUAUUUGUUAAAGAAAUUCGCUGAUAGAUGGGCAUGCGUUCCAUUAGGUAGUUGGUGAGGUAACGGCUCACCAAGCCGACGAUGGAUAGGGGAACUGAGAGGUUGGUCCCCCACACUGGUACUGAGACACGGACCAGACUCCUACGGGAGGCAGCAGUGAGGAAUAUUGGUCAAUGGGCGGGAGCCUGAACCAGCCAAGUCGCCGUGAAGGAAGAAGGAUCUAUGGUUCGUAAACUUCUUUUGCAGGGGAAUAAAGUGCAGGACGUGUCCUGUUUUGUAUGUACCCUGAGAAUAAGGAUCGGCUAACUCCGUGCCAGCCGCGGC
rnacentral:rRNA from 1 species